rnacentral:rRNA from 1 species
CUGGCGGCAGGCCUAACACAUGCAAGUCGAGCGCGAAAGCACUUCGGUGUGAGUAGAGCGGCGGACGGGUGAGUAACGCGUAGGAAUCUACCUAGUAGUGGGGGACAACUCGGGGAAACUCGAGCUAAUACCGCAUAAGCCCUACGGGGGAAAGCGGGGGACCUUCGGGCCUCGUGCUAUUAGAUGAGCCUGCGUUGGAUUAGCUAGUUGGUGGGGUAAAGGCCUACCAAGGCGACGAUCCAUAGCUGGUCUGAGAGGAUGAUCAGCCACACCGGGACUGAGACACGGCCCGGACUCCUACGGGAGGCAGCAGUGGGGAAUAUUGCGCAAUGGGCGAAAGCCUGACGCAGCCAUGCCGCGUGUGUGAAGAAGGCCUUCGGGUUGUAAAGCACUUUCAAUUGGGAGGAAAGGUUCACGGUUAAUAACCGUGAGCUGUGACGUUACCUUUAGAAGAAGCACCGGCUAA